rnacentral:tRNA from 1 species
GUCCAGGGCUAGGAAUCGAACCCAGUGUUCCGCUUACCGGGUAGAUGCCAUGUCCACUAGGCUACCCUGGA